UCCUUUCCUCUCUCCUUCAUCUAGGAAGUCAGCUGCUCCUAGAUAGCAAGUGUUCUGAAUCUCUGUGUUCUAAGUUUUUUAGUAGGAGAGCUCCAUAUGGUGGGUGGCAGGUGGGAGGGCUAUUGGCUGUCCAGAUGAGCUUGUGGCCACGUGGUUAAGUCUGCCUGAAUCCAGGGUUCAGGACUGGAAGCCUGUUCUUGCUGCUCUUAAACCACAUUCACCAUCUAGUCUUUAUCAGCAAGAGGGAUGAUAUUGAUACAUUGGACUCCAUCUGCCUGACUGUUCUGUAUAUUCCAACUGGUUCAAAACUGCAUCAGGGAAAAGGAGUAUAUCUACAGGCUCCCUAAAACCUCAGUAGGUUUGCAGACACAGUUGAUAUCACCCGUGUGUUAUCAUCUUGUCUUUGCCACAGCAGACAGAUGGCAGUGUCUACAGGGCAGCCUCUGGCCCUUACAGGCUGUCACCCAGUAAUCAAUUGGAUGUCCAGGAGAAAAGCCAUCUGCAGUAAAAUCUUCAAUGUUGACUGAUUUCCGUGGUGCAGACAUCCACACCAUUGCUGCUUUCAAGCGGCACUCAAGGCAUCAUUGAACAGAGUUGGGAGGAGACGGACACAAUCUGCUCUCCACACCAGCAAGGCGCCAACUCAGCCGACUCUCUGCACCUCUCUGGAGCCAGGGCAACAUCCCUCCAGAGAGGCAGAUGGCUGAGUGCACGGCUAGAUGCACCCCUCUCAGCUGGACUUCCUGUUUGGGGAUUGUUUGCUACCCUGAGAACUGGCUCAAAGGCCAAACCUUUGUGCCAUAUUCAGUGGCCGCCCAAUUCCAUGAAGGGUCAACCCAUAAGUGAAGCCUGUCUUGAACAAGUCCUGCAGAAGACUAAUAGCAACCCCAUGGUUAGGCUUGCUAGAUUCCUGGAUCAGGCUUUCUAAAUGAAGGUGAAUCUUCUCUUGACUUGAAGAGGGAGAUA
ensembl:lncRNA